AGAGUUUGAUCCUGGCUCAGGAUGAACGCUGGCGGCGUGCCUAAUACAUGCAAGUCGAGCGGUAACACUUCGGGUGACGAGCGGCGGACGGCUGAGUAACACGUAGGAACAUACCCCAGAGUGAGGGAUAAGCACCGGAAACGGUGUCUAAUACCGCAUAACCUCUUCGGAGAAAAGCUUCGGCGCUUUGGGAAUGGCCUGCGCAUGAUUAGCUUGUUGGUGAGGUAAAAGCUCACCAAGGCGACGAUCAUUGGCUGGUCUGAGAGGAUGAUCAGCCAGACUGGGACUGAGAACGGCCCAGACUCCUACGGGAGGCAGCAGUAGGGAAUUUUCCACAAUGGGGGCAACCCUGAUGGAGCAACGCCGCGUGCAGGACGAAGGCUUUCGGGUCGUAAACUGCUUUUAUCUGUGACGAAUAUGACGGUAGCAGAUGAAUAAGGAUCGGCUAACUCCGUGCCAGCAGCCGCGGUCAUACGGGGGAUCCAAGCGUUAUCCGGAAUUACUGGGCGUAAAGAGUUGCGUAGGUGGCAGAGUAAGUUGAUAGUGAAAGCGUGCGGCUCAACCGCAUAUCCAUUAUCAAAACUGCUCAGCUAGAGGACGAGAGAGGUUAUUGGAAUUCCUAGUGUAGGAGUGAAAUCCGUAGAUAUUAGGAGGAACACCGAUGGCGUAGGCAGAUAACUGGCUCGUU
rnacentral:rRNA from 1 species